rnacentral:rRNA from 1 species
UACGUAGGGUGCGAGCGUUAAUCGGAAUUACUGGGCGUAAAGCGUGCGCAGGCGGUAAGUUAAGUCUGAUGUGAAAGCCCCGGGCUCAACCUGGGAAUGGCAUUGGAAACUGGCUUGCUGGAGUGUGGCAGAGGGGGGUGGAAUUCCGCGUGUAGCAGUGAAAUGCGUAGAGAUGCGGAGGAACACCGAUGGCGAAGGCAGCCCCCUGGGCCAACACUGACGCUCAUGCACGAAAGCGUGGGGAGCAAACAGG